rnacentral:rRNA from 1 species
GGCGAACGCUGGCGGCGUGCUUAACACAUGCAAGUCGAACGGAAAGGCCCUGCUUUUGUGGGGUGCUCGAGUGGCGAACGGGUGAGUAACACGUGAGUAACCUGCCCUUGACUUUGGGAUAACUUCAGGAAACUGGGGCUAAUACCGGAUAGGAGCUCCUGCUGCAUGGUGGGGGUUGGAAAGUUUCGGCGGUUGGGGAUGGACUCGCGGCUUAUCAGCUUGUUGGUGGGGUAGUGGCUUACCAAGGCUUUGACGGGUAGCCGGCCUGAGAGGGUGACCGGCCACAUUGGGACUGAGAUACGGCCCAGACUCCUACGGGAGGCAGCAGUGGGGAAUAUUGCACAAUGGGCGGAAGCCUGAUGCAGCAACGCCGCGUGCGGGAUGACGGCCUUCGGGUUGUAAACCGCUUUCGCCUGUGACGAAGCGUGAGUGACGGUAAUGGGUAAAGAAGCACCGGCUAACUACGUGCCAGCAGCCGCGGUGAUACGUAGGGUGCGAGCGUUGUCCGGAUUUAUUGGGCGUAAAGGGCUCGUAGGUGGUUGAUCGCGUCGGAAGUGUAAUCUUGGGGCUUAACCCUGAGCGUGCUUUCGAUACGGGUUGACUUGAGGAAGGUAGGGGAGAAUGGAAUUCCUGGUGGAGCGGUGGAAUGCGCAGAUAUCAGGAGGAACACCAGUGGCGAAGGCGGUUCUCUGGGCCUUUCCUGACGCUGAGGAGCGAAAGCGUGGGGAGCGAACAGGCUUAGAUACCCUGGUAGUCCACGCUGUAAACGGUGGGUACUAGGUGUGGGGUCCAUUCCACGGGUUCCGUGCCGUAGCUAACGCUUUAAGUACCCCGCCUGGGGAGUACGGCCGCAAGGCUAAAACUCAAAGGAAUUGACGGGGCCUCGCACAAGCGGCGGAGCAUGCGGAUUAAUUCGAUGCAACGCGUAGAACCCUACCUGGGUUUGACAUGGAUCGGGAGCGCUCAGAGAUGGGUGUGCCUCUUUUGGGGUCGGUUCACAGGUGGUGCAUGGCUGUCGUCAGCUCGUGUCGUGAGAUGUUGGGUUAAGUCCCGCAACGAGCGCAACCCUUGUUCACUGUUGCCAGCACGUUAUGGUGGGGACUCAGUGGAGACCGCCGGGGUCAACUCGGAGGAAGGUGGGGAUGACGUCAAGUCAUCAUGCCCCUUAUGUCCAGGGCUUCACGCAUGCUACAAUGGCUGGUACAGAGAGUGGCGAGCCUGUGAGGGUGAGCGAAUCUCGGAAAGCCGGUCUCAGUUCGGAUUGGGGUCUGCAACUCGACCUCAUGAAGUCGGAGUCGCUAGUAAUCGCAGAUCAGCAACGCUGCGGUGAAUACGUUCCCGGG